UAGGGAAUCUUCGGCAAUGGACGAAAGUCUGACCGAGCAACGCCGCGUGAGUGAAGAAGGUUUUCGGAUCGUAAAACUCUGUUGUUAGAGAAGAACAAGGACGUUAGUAACUGAACGUCCCCUGACGGUAUCUAACCAGAAAGCCACGGCUAACUACGUGCCAGCAGCCGCGGUAAUACGUAGGUGGCAAGCGUUGUCCGGAUUUAUUGGGCGUAAAGCGAGCGCAGGCGGUUUCUUAAGUCUGAUGUGAAAGCCCCCGGCUCAACCGGGGAGGGUCAUUGGAAACUGGGAGACUUGAGUGCAGAAGAGGAGCGUGGAAUUCCAUGUGUAGCGGUGAAAUGCGUAGAUAUAUGGAGGAACACCAGUGGCGAAGGCGGCUCUCUGGUCUGUAACAGACGCUGAGGCUCGAAAGCGUGGGGAGCAAACAGG
rnacentral:rRNA from 1 species